rnacentral:misc_RNA from 1 species
AAAUGCACCAUAAGGAGGGAGACGGCAAGGGAUUUACGUAACGGGGAAAAAGGAACUGUAAAGAGACGAAUCGCCUGGGUAUUGUGUAACCGUGUUGUGGCGCGUUAGAUGGUAGUUGUUCGUAGAAGAAAUUGGUUAAUUCCCAUUAGCGUUUCUGGUUCGCCUCAAUGUCCAUUACGCGGAUUAGAGGAAAUCACGUAAGGUCUUUCUGUGGGAAGAUCUAGAUCGAAGGGUGAGGCGAAGACGCGGGGGAAGGAUUGACCGGAUGUUCCAGGGAAAUUGGAGUAAUCAAUGGAAGGAAAUUGGAUACCAAAUCAAAUUAUGCAGAGUGUCUUGUUCUGCAGUUACUGGUGAUAAAAGAAUAGAAUGUUGAAGAUUAAUUUAACCCGAUAGAGACUUAAACAUUGAAAUGAAGUGUUCAAAUACCAAUAGAAGCAAUGGCAGAGCGAAGAAGAUUUAUGUAUUCCUUG